AACCUUAUGGACCUGCGGGCGUAUACCUGCGGAGGGAUCAUUACUGAGUGAGGGCCUUCGGGCUCGACCUCCAACCCUUUGUGAACACAACUUGUUGCUUCGGGGGCGACCCUGCCGUUUCGACGGCGAGCGCCCCCGGAGGCCUUCAAACACUGCAUCUUUGCGUCGGAGUUUAAGUAAAUUAAACAAAACUUUCAACAAUGGAUCU
rnacentral:misc_RNA from 1 species